UUACCCCCACCAGAGGGCUGUUCCUGGCAAAGCAGAGCAGCUUCACCAUCAGGCACAGGACAUGCCAGUUUCGAGAGACGUUUAGGAUUUAUGUGCAACCAAUGAAUAAGAUGGAGUGUCAGAGAGAGUGGGGCCUACCCACUGUCUCCUGGACGAGCUGGGACCAAACCCAGCCUACGCAGGAGGGGUCAUAACAUGAGGCCUGUAUCUGCUUUGUUCCCAUGGAAUCCGGUAAAGUGGAUCCCCAGUUCGACUCCAGCAGGCCCAUCUCUCACCUGUCUGCCACGUCCACACUGCCACCAGGGACAGAGCUAACAUCUGGCUCUGCUUCAUGAGGCCUCCAGCCCCAGAGCAGCUCAGGGACAGGAAGGAUGAACUCUGCCUGGCCUUGCUGAGCUAGUUCUCGGGGCUCCCACUGCAAGCUCUGUGGUUAACGCCUCUGCUGACAGCGGACAGGACAGACUUUCUCUGAAAGUCUGAGUUUCUCUGAAUCUCUGAGGUGCAGGAUUCUCAGAAACCCAGCGGCAGCCUUGCCACGCACCACCGCUGCGACACUGGCCACUCCCGGCAAUCUGAGGGGCAUUUUGUGUGUCCCCAGCACCUGUACAGCCUCACACUUUGAAGGUGUCCAAUCACAUCUGCUGGAGGAACAAGUGGCCCAAUGUUGCAUGGAUCCUCUGGGUCGGUGUCAUCUCUCUGGGUCGGUGUCAUCUGUCCCCUCUCACCAACAGGUACGCUGCUCAGAGCACAGAAGUUACUGGUGACAUACACAUGUCCUUAAAAGGCUAAGAAUGCUGGCUGUGGCAGAGGCAAACUACUAAAUGAAAUGGCGCGUCAGUAGCUCCUCCAGCAGGGCCUGAUUAGCCGUGGGUAAUGUUCACUUGUGAGAGGGGGCAACUCGGCAGGCCUGGGAGCAAGAACUCACACAGAGGGCCUGCCCUGGCCCUCGAAGAACCAUAGACGCCGGGGCAGCAGCCUCUCAGCACCACCCUCAUCUGUGAGGACUCUGGGCCCACCUAACAACCUGCACUCUCUUCCCACUCACCCCUGGCCUUGGUAGGGGGUGAGCCAGGGACAACCCUUCUGCCUGGAGAAGGGGCUCAGGAAGAAGGGUGUCUAGGGUGUCUUAGCUUGAAUUCCCCCAAGAAGCUGACCCUGAGAAAAGAUUCAAGAGCAACUGGAGCUUAACCCUGCAGGGAAGCCACCAGCACUCACAUCAGGGUGCCUCCACCCAGGAGCUAGGGGCCUGGGUUGUUAUGCACUGACUCCUCAGCCUUUGACUGAGAGCUGCUCCCAGGAGAUGUCAUUCCCUCACACUUGCUAGCAACUUUCUAGGGCCAGGAGCUCAGCCUCAGGUGGAGAGGUGCAGGGAGGGCAGGAGGAGGUUUCAGAAGCACUGAAGCAGUCACGCCCAAGGGACAUGGGUGAGACUCCUGGAGGCCAGAGGGGGAUGCCAGUGCAUGUGUGGCUGUCACUGGUCUGAGGAAGCUGGGGUCACCCUCACUAGCAAGAUCCAUUUGAGGAGUGUACCAGGCCCUCCAACCUUUUGAUGGUAGAACCUGUGGGGAGGGGCUGUGCCCCACAAGAGGAAAAGCUACUUGCUAGCUGGGUUGGGGACAGAGGCCCAGGCUAGAGAUGGGCCCAGGUGCAAAUUCUAAGCUGCCAUUGGCAUGAUGGCUCUGCCUAAGCUAUAGAGAUCCCCCUCCCCAUCCCUCCUAGUUUGUCACUUAAGACUAUACUCACCUUUCCCCCAACCUCACCUGUGGCCUUUUCACCAAUCCCACAUUGGAUUGGUGGAAGUGCAGCUACCAGGGCAAACCUGGCGCUGAUGGAUAGCAAGCCACUGGGGCUGCCCCCAAAAUGGUCUCUUGGACCAGUGGGCUGAGCAGGGCUGCCUCAGGGUGCGACCCGGGCCUCCCAGCAGCCUCUGAGGUCCUGGCUGUCAAUGGUCGGGGUAGGACUACAUGACCUCCAGGGGCUCUUCCAGAAUUAAGCAUCGUCUUUGAAACUGUCGGGCAUUUCAUGGUAUGUCAGGCUCUGUGCUAAGUCCUUUCAAUUGUUAUCCUCUUCAAUCCCCACCACACCCUAUGAACUAGGUGACUACUCUCUUCAGUUUGCAGAUAAGGAAACUGAGGCCCCAGAAGUUAAGAAACUAGCCCAAGUUAGAGAGGAAGGGAAUGUCAGAGUUGGGUGUGAGCCCUGGGCGAGGCCUAGGACCUGCCCAGUGGUGAUGUGAGGCUGGACCACAGUGCUGGGGCUGGACCAACCUCUGCGUCCGGGCUGGGACAUGGUUCCAUCGUCCACGCCCCACCUGGCUAUGCACUCCGAGGGACUCCUCUGGGCCGGGCCUGGUCAGCACCUUGUGCCCCAACGCGUGGCCUGGAAUAAGUCAAGCUAUAGUCUCAGUUUGACAUUAGUCUUUUAUUAUAACCAUAUUGAAUGGGGUCGCUUUGCCAAAAGGAGAAAUCAUUUCUUAAAUCAGUAUGAGUUAUAGCAUAAAGAUGGAUGAGAAAAAAGCGAUAGGGCAUACAUGGCGUCACUGAAUAUUCCAUCAAUCAAAUGAAUUGUGCCACUGUGAGAAAAACUACUAUGACAGCUUUUACAUCAAAGUGGUCUCAAGCCUGUUUAUACGAACUUUAUAUAUCUUUUUAACAGUAUAAAAAGAGAGCUUUAGUAAGUAACACUGAGAAAGCAGUCUGGCCUUUGAGAAGGAAGCCUGGCUUGCCAGGUGCCAUCCUCAAUGUAUCCGGCCUCUUCUCUCUGCUCCACAGCCUCCCCAGUGCCCCUCCUCCAGACACACAGGGCAGGGGCCAGGGGCCAGGUGUGUGUCCGCAGGAAAGGAGGGAUGGAAUUGGUUGGAGCCGCCACAGAACGGCCACUCUAUGUGGGGACCUAAGUCCUCCGUACACACUCCUGUUCUAUAAUGAACCCUUGGAGCAGUUCCUUAAAAAAAUAAAA
rnacentral:lncRNA from 1 species